ACUUUUUCUUAGUGAUCAGGGUCCAGCAACAAACAACCCCGACUUUCGGGGUUUUUUGUUAUUUGAGCUUUUUGAAACGCUCGAAUAAAUGCUUGGAAUUUAAAUUGGGCUAUAUGCCCUUUUUUU
rfam:Vibrio shilonii AK1 1103207002021, whole genome shotgun sequence.